rnacentral:rRNA from 1 species
GACGAACGCUGGCGGCGUGCCUAAUACAUGCAAGUAGAACGCACAGUUUAUACCGUAGCUUGCUACACCAUAGACUGUGAGUUGCGAACGGGUGAGUAACGCGUAGGUAACCUGCCUGGUAGCGGGGGAUAACUAUUGGAAACGAUAGCUAAUACCGCAUAAUAUUGAUUAUUGCAUGAUAAUUAAUUGAAAGGUGCAAUUGCACCACUACCAGAUGGACCUGCGUUGUAUUAGCUAGUAGGUGAGGUAACGGCUCACCUAGGCGACGAUACAUAGCCGACCUGGAAGGGUGAUCGGCCACACUGGGACUGCGACACGGCCCAGACUCCUACGGGGGGCAGCAGUAGGGAAUCUUCGGCAAUGGACGAAAGUCUGACCGAGCAACGCCGCGUGAGUGAAGAAGGUUUUCGGAUCGUAAAGCUCUGUUGUAAGAGAAGAACGGGUGUGAGAGUGGAAAGUUCACACUGUGACGGUAUCUUACCAGAAAGGGACGGCUAACUACGUG